UACGUAGGUGGCAAGCGUUGUCCGGAAUUAUUGGGCGUAAAGCGCGCGCAGGCGGCCUCUUAAGUCUGAUGUGAAAGCCCCCGGCUCAACCGGGGAGGGCCAUUGGAAACUGGGAGGCUUGAGUAUAGGAGAGAAGAGUGGAAUUCCACGUGUAGCGGUGAAAUGACGUAGAGAUGUGGAGGAACACCAGUGGCGAAGGCGACUCUUUGGCCUAUAACUGACGCUGAGGCGCGAAAGCGUGGGGAGCAAACAGG
rnacentral:rRNA from 1 species